rnacentral:lncRNA from 10 species
AUGGGGAACAUACUGACCUGUUGUGUGUGCCCCAGGGACAGCCCUGAGUUUGACCAGCAGCAGGGGUCAGUGUGCCCCUCGGAGUCCAAGAUCUAUGAGGCAGGAGCGCCCAUGGCUGCUGCUGUACAGCCUGCUGCAGUGACUGUUGAAGUUGGUGAGGACCUCCACAUGCACCACAUCCAUGACCGGGAGAUGCCUGAAGCUUUGGAGUUUAAACCUGCCAAUUCAGAAGCAAGCACAAUAUUCCAUGGGAACUCUCAAACAGAUGCUUUGGAGUUUAACCCUCCUGCCAAUCCAGAGGCAACCACAAUAUUCCACAGGAACUCUCAAACAGAUGUUGUAGAAAUAAGAAGAAGCAACUAUACAAACCACGUAUCUACUGUGCGUUUCAGUCAACAAUACAGCUCAUGUUCGACAAUACUCCUUGAUGACAGCACAGCCAGCCAGCCUUAUCUUACAAUGACAAUAAUAUCAGUGACCUUGGAGAUACAUCAUGAUAUCACGCAAAGGUGAGCUUUUUAGAAAUCUGUCUUGUUAUUCUAGCUAAUUGCUUUGCAAGAUACCAAGCUCAGUGUUAGGUCACAGCUCUAGACAUCAUAAGCUGUAUUGUGCCUGCUAAAAUAUCGAAGCAAAUUAUUUGUGUUUUCUUUGUUCCUUAAGACUCUUAAUUCUUAAAUGAUUGAGCAUCUCAAAGAGUGUGUGUUUAUAUUGAUUAUACUGAUAUUUACUGUGGUAGAAAUAUAACAUUGAGAUUUUUUUUCAAAAUCUAUUUUUAGUUUAGAUUUCACAGCCUUACCACUGUUGAUAUUAUGAGCUAGAUAACGCUUUGUUGUGAGGACUGUCCUGUGCAUUGCAGAGAGUUUAGCAGCAUUCAUGGCCGCUACCAACUAGAUGUCAGUAGUAACCCAUGGCCCAGGUUGUAACAACAGAAAAUAUUCCUUGAGAACAAUAUUAUUAACAGAAAUUUUUCACUGAAAAAUAACUUUUCUACAAUCAAAAGUUGAGUAAAAAGUGUGUCAUGUAUUUGUAUUAUUUAAAGUCUCUCAUGUUGAGCUUAAUAGGAGACAACUGGAUUCUCUAGAUGUUUCUUUACAAUUUGCUAUAAAAAAGUAAUAAGAGGCUGAGCACGGUGGCUCACGCCUGUAAUCCCAGCACUUUGGGAGGCCAAGGUGGGUGGACCACAAGGUCAGGAGAUCAAGACCAUCCUGACUAACAUGGUGAAACCCGCCUCUGCUGAAAGUACAAAAAAUGGCUGGACAUGGUGGUGCAUGCCUGUAGUCUAGCUACUACUUGGGAGGCUGAGACCGGAGAAUCACUUGAACCUGGGAGGCAGACGUUGCAGUGAGCCGAGAUCUCGCCAUUGCACCCCAGCCUGAGUGACAGAGGGAGACUCCAUCUCAAGAAAAGAAAAAAAGAAGCAAUAAGAUGACCCAACCUCAUGCAAAUAGGUAGCUGGUAAAAGGUGUAUUUUAAAGUUUUCAGACAGUUGUGGGUAUUCUUUAAUACUAAAUCAAAACUUCACAAGUGCUAGUUUCUUAAAUUAGUUACAGUGGCAUUUUCCAUAUUAAUAAAUUUAUUCCAUCAGUACUCAUUGAUCUUUCUUGCACAGUAAAUGGAUCUUUCCCCCAUACUUGCAUUUACAAUAUUAUGCAUUAGUUACUUGGAAUAUAUUGGUUUAUGUUUUAUUAUGUCAAAAAUCACUUUUAGUUUAAUCACCAAUCUUACUUUAAAACGCCUUUAAGUAUUGAAAAGCUGUCAAGGCUACAGUAGAAGGAACAAGUUUUUCAAAGUUCUCAGGAAAGCUUAAAUUUCAUCAUUGGGAACAAAUACUCAAUUUCCUUGAAGGAACAAACUCUCACUUCAUUUAUUUUUGAGAAUGAUAGUUUUACUUCUUUUUUUAGACUGAGUCUCACUCUGUCACUUGGCUGGAGUGCUUUGGCAUGAUCUCAGCUCAAGCAAUCCUCUCACCUCAGGCUCCUGUGUAGCUGGGACCACAGAUGUGUGGCACCACGCCAGGCUAAUUUUCUUGUGUUGUUGGUAGAGGCAGGUUUUUGUUAUGUUGCCUAGGCUGGUCUCGAACUGCUGAAGGAGCUCAAGCCAUCUGCCUGCUUUGGCCUCCCAAAGUGCUGGGAUUUUACAGGCAUGAGCCACAGCGCCGGCCCAGUUGUACUUUUAAAUAAAAACAAUGUUCUGUGAAAAAAUUGGUUGUUCAGUUCACAAUUAAAUCACGAAUUCUUUUUUUUAAACAAAAAAAAAAAAAAACAACAAUGACUGUACUGCAGUCAGCAGAAGCGCUUCUUGUUAACUUUCCACUUACCAGAAUCGUAAAGAGACAUGUCAAGAUUUAAUAACAUUAAUUUCUACUGCUUCAUCAAAGACAUUCUUAAGUAAUUCAGGCUACCUUUUUUAACUAUAGGGGAUAGUAAAGAAUAGAGUGACUAAUGUAAUUGGUACCACUGCCUUGAUUUAUGCUGAGAAACCAGCAGUUUUACCCACUUUUACUUUUAUACAGUCAUGGCAAAUGUCAACGAAAAAGCAGGCAAUGACUUUGUAUUACUUUUACAAAUUUUUAAAUUUUUAAAUCAGCUUUCUCAGGUUUAAUUAGUAUGAUUCAGAACAGUGUUGGCCAGGCACAGUGGCUCAGGCCUGUAAUCCCAGCACUUUGGGAGUCCAAGGCGAGCAGAUCACCUGAGGUCAGGAGUUCAAUACCAGCCUGGCCAACAUAGUGAAACCACAUCUCUACUAAAAAUACAAAAAUUAGCUGGGCGUGGUGGUGGGCGCCUGUAAUCCCAGCUACUUGGGAGGUUGAGGUAGGAGAAUCACUUGAACCUGGGAGGCAAAGAUUGCCGUGAACCGAGAUCGUGCCAUUGUACUCCAGCCUGGGCAACAAGAGUGAAACUCGGUCUCGAAAAAAAAAAAAAAAAGAACAGUUGGCCUCUUAGGCCUUCUGGAAAGGGUCUUGGGGAUCCUGAGAGGUCCACAGAGCACAUUUGGGGAACCACUGGUUUAUCAUGUAGGCACAAUGCAUUAGUUUUACAAAGUUUAAAGUUCAUCAAAGACUGGCCUCUUAAAAAGGCAGAUGAGUUUUUAAUUCAAACAACAGAAAAUACAUAAAUAUGUCACGAGAGUAUACUACAGAGAACUAAAGAGAAAGGAAGCUAGAAAAUCUGAAUCACGUUUACAUUUAUUAAAGUUCAUCACUACUGCUUUGUAAAACAUUCUUGUGUUUCAGUGUGUGGUGUGGUUAGAAGAGUGAAAAUAUAUUUGGUUUGUUGCCAUUGCCUGUUAGGGAGAGUCAGUACUUACGGGCAUUUCUGACUGGUUACAUAUAAAAGACUUCACAGAACAGGACAUGAAGUCCUCAGAAAGAAGAAGUCAGGAAACCCUCUGCAAGUCAGGAUCCAGGAGAAAAAUUUGUAAAAACUGCUUCGGUAAAGUAAACAGCAAAGCACACAGGAGGCAGUAUUUUACUAAACAUAUGUGAUACUAAUAUAUUAACAGUUUUUGAAGUAAUGCACACUCUUAUUUUAUAGAGAUGCAGAUGGAUCUUUGAGCAUAUCUGAUGAGAAGUUAUACUCAUUUACGGUAAGUGGCGCUUUUAUUGCGGUUGUAUUUUCAUCAUACACUUGUAUCUGUUUCAUGCUGAAGUCAAAGGCAUCUUUUUAAAAAUCUUCCCCGUUUCAUGUCACAUUUAGUCAUCUUAAGUGUUGUAAAAAGAAUGUGCUGGAAUAAGAACUGAUCUGCAGCUGUGUUUAGUUAGUGAGCUAGUAUGAGUAAAUAUACUACCCAAAUAACAGAAAAUGUAUCUUUUUUUUUUUUUUUUUUUUUGAGGUGGAGUCUCUCUCUGUAGCCCAGGCUGGAGUGCAGUCAUGUGAUCUCGGCUCACCGCAGGCUCUGCCUCCCAGGUCCCUGUUCAAGCAGAAACCUGAACCAAGUGAACAAGUUCAACAUCAUCAGUAAGAAGAACUAUCAGUGCCAUAACUCUGAUGGAAUGCACGGGGAAGGAUUCCACAUCAUUUUUGUACUGUAAUGGCCAAAAGUGCAUAACUUCAGUCCAAUCAUGGAAAUACAUCAGAAAAACCCAAAUCGAGGAACAUUUGACAAAUACUGAUCAGUACUGGUUCAAAGUGUCACGGUUAGGAAAGGUAAGGAAAGACUGAGGAACUGUCACUGCAGUCCUACAAAAUGUCAAGAGACUAAGAAAUAACUAAAUGCCCCGUGAUCCUGGAUGGCAUUUGGGAACAGAAAAAGGACAUUAGUGGAAAAAGUGGUGAAACUCCAAUAAGGACUUUAGUUUAGCUAAUAUGUUCAAUUUAAAUUAAAUAAUUUAAAUAUAUUUAAACAUUAUUUAAAUGUAUUAAAUUAAUAAAAUUGUUUAUUUUGUGAAAUAAU